rnacentral:rRNA from 1 species
GACAGAGGGGGCAAGCGUUGCUCGGAAUCACUGGGCGUAAAGGGCGCGUAGGCGGGAUGGCAAGUCAGUCGUGAAAUCUCUCGGCUCAACCGAGAAACGUCGGCUGAUACUGCCGUUCUUGAGGGAUGCAGAGGAGACUGGAAUUCCCGGUGUAGCGGUGAAAUGCGCAGAUAUCAGGAGGAACACCGAUGGCGAAGGCAGGUCUCUGGGCCACUACUGACGCUGAGAAGCGAAAGCAUGGGGAGCGAACAGG